rnacentral:rRNA from 1 species
GAUGAACGCUGGCGGCGUGCUUAACACAUGCAAGUCGAACGUGAGGGGGUAGCAAUAUCCUUGAAAGUGGCGCACGGGUGAGUAAUACGUAGGUAACCUGCCCUGGAGUGGGGGAUAACAACUGGAAACGGUUGCUAAUACCGCAUAAGACCGGACACGAGGGAUUGUGACUGGUAAAAACUCUGGUGCUUCAGGAGGGGCCUGCGGCCGAUUAGCUAGUUGGCGGGGUAAGAGCCCACCAAGGCAGUGAUCGGUAGCUGGUCUGAGAGGACGAUCAGCCACACGGGAACUGAGACACGGUCCCGACUCCUACGGGGGGCAGCAGUGAGGAAUAUUGGGCAAUGGGCGGAAGCCUGACCCAGCAACGCCGCGUGGAGGAAGACGGCCUCGGUUGUAACUACCUUUUUGGGGUAAGGUAGAGAGGACGGUACCCGACGAAUAAGUACACGGCUAACUACGUGCCAGCAGCCGCGGUAACUGUAGUCGU